UCCCCGCUUCUCCUCCCUGAGCGGGUGCCUGUCGAGAUUCGAUCAGGUUAUUAAUCUGUGCUGUACCGCGGCGUUUUUUU
rnacentral:ncRNA from 1 species